rnacentral:rRNA from 1 species
GACGAACGCUGGCGGCGUGCUUAACACAUGCAAGUCGAACGAAGAGCGAUGGAAGCUUGCUUCUAUCAAUCUUAGUGGCGAACGGGUGAGUAACGCGUAAUCAACCUGCCCUUCAGAGGGGGACAACAGUUGGAAACGACUGCUAAUACCGCAUACGAUCUAAUCUCGGCAUCGAGGAUAGAUGAAAGGUGGCCUCUACAUGUAAGCUAUCACUGAAGGAGGGGAUUGCGUCUGAUUAGCUAGUUGGAGGGGUAACGGCCCACCAAGGCGAUGAUCAGUAGCCGGUCUGAGAGGAUGAACGGCCACAUUGGGACUGAGACACGGCCCAGACUCCUACGGGAGGCAGCAGUGGGGAAUCUUCCGAAAUGGACGAAAGUCUGACGGAGCAACGCCGCGUGAGUGAUGACGGCCUUCGGGUUGUAAAGCUCUGUUAAUCGGGACGAAAGGCCUUCUUGCGAACAGUUAGAAGGAUUGACGGUACCGGAAGAGAAAGCCACGGCUAACUACGUG